AUACGUAGGGGGCAAGCGUUAUCCGGAUUUACUGGGUGUAAAGGGAGCGUAGACGGAAGGCCAAGUCUGAUGUGAAAGCCCGCGGCUCAACUGCGGGACUGCAUUGGAAACUGGUCAUCUGGAGUGCAGGAGGGGUAAGCGGAAUUCCUAGUGUAGCGAUGAAAUGCGUAGAUAUUAGGAGGAACACCGGUGGCGAAGGCGGCUUACUGGAAUGUAACUAACGUUGAGGCUCGAAAGCGUGGGGAGCAAACAGGAUUAGAUACCCUGGUAGUCCACGCCGUAAACGAUGGGCGCUCGUCGUCGGCGGCAGACAGUCGGCGGCCAAGCGAAAGCGAUAAGCGCCCCACCUGGGGAGUACGGUCGCAAGGCUGAAACUCAAAUGAAUUGACGGGG
rnacentral:rRNA from 1 species